rnacentral:tRNA from 1 species
UGGGUUGUGGCUCAGUGGUAGAGCGCUCAUCUAGCACGUGCGAGGCCCUGGGUUCCAUCCUCAACACCACAU